rnacentral:lncRNA from 1 species
GACCUAAACGUGGAUCCAAGGUGUGCCCCUCCCGUGUGAACCAAUCAAACAGUCAACAGAUGCAAAUUGGUGAGAACUUGUUGAUUUUGGCAUGCCCACUGCGCUGGUUGGGGAAGACUCCAGAACAUCUGAGGAUGUUUUACAUCGGCACCCCAGUAAACACCUGUGCUGCUGAGCAGCAAAGCGCACUCGCGCUCCUGCAGUGAUCUGCGCUGCACUCGGAGUUUACACAUUGUCUACACCGUGACUCAGUGCAGAGCCCCAUUGCAAACAGAGGACCCACGUGGCUGCUCACUGCAGGGCUUCAUGACCUCCCACACCAUGGGCAGCCCGGGCUGCUCCCAGCAUGGAGCUCUGUGUUCUUUUCAGGAAUGCGAUUCACAGAGAGACCGCCUUCAAGCAGUACAAACCCACGAAAUACACAUCACAAAAAGUCGGCAAAAGCGUCCCAGCGUCACAACCGCUGCGAUAAGGAACGCGCUCCGGCGGCGCGGCGCUGUCCGGGUGCGACGCGGUGAAGCGCUGCGCCCCAACGGCUCCCGGGGACCCGACGCAUUAACGUUACCUCGAAACAGCUGUGCAAAUGCUGCAGGACACGCCGCGGACCUCUGACCCGCAGCUUUAGAGCCUGGAAAUCCCUCUCAAUGCAACUGGGAAAUGCAAGAGCAGCUCUCCAGGUGGUGGCAGGAGCAGAUAGGAUUGGUGAAAUUCAGCUUUUCUUCGCUCUUAUGGUGCAGUGGUCCUGAGCUGAGGGCUUCCCUGGUCCUGAGCGGGGCCCAAUGCAGCGCAGCCAUCACCCUGCAUUGCUUGUGGGGCUGCAGCUCCCGGCAAUGGGGCUCGUGGUUCUCUGACUGUCACCCUCAGCUCCUGAAGAGUUGCUGUGCACAAAGCAAACAGUGAGGAUUUGUUGUUUUAGGGAUUCACAUAAUUUUAGUAAUUUUAUGAAACGACCCCGCUCUCUCAGAAGAAAUUGAAAUUGACAGGACUGAAUUGUCUGAUAAUAAAUUUAUCAAUAUGUUAAUGAUCA